CUGAUACAUGGACCCCAUAACUCAGACUCUUCUCCAGUCUGCCAAACAACUGGAGUUGCUAAUGGCUCUAACUUUCUGGCCGGUGUGUGUGUGGCUGCUAUAGCUUACCCAAAGACUGUUCAAGAAACCUCGUCCUCCAGGAAUGCAUCCAUCUUUGUACUGGACUGUGUUUGCUGAAACUGGUGUCUGCAAUGAGAAAGGAAUUCUCCUGGCCUCUCUCGUCCUCCUUGGAACCCCAGUCUGUUGGGAAAGAGGAGAAAGGACUGGAGAUACUGACUGAGGCAUAGCUGGGGAUCAGAACCAGCCUCUGUGCCUGAGAAACCGCAGCCAUGAGAAACCACCACAGCCCUAUAUUUUGGAAGACCUAGGAGCUAGCCUGAGAUCAGCACCUCAUCUGUGGGAGGAUGGAGGCAAAGGCAAGGGGCUCAGAUAUAAAGGAAACCUGCCACACACCAAAUCCUGGGUGAGCUCUUGCCAUCUGUAUCACCUUCAUUCUCUUCCAUGGCAUUGUAUCCUUCCAACAGCCCACUGAAAUGAUGGGUACUGAAACUGAG
rnacentral:lncRNA from 1 species